rnacentral:rRNA from 1 species
GACGGCAGCUUAACUGUCGCAGUGCCUUUGAUACUGUAGGACUUGAAUCUAUUUGAAGUGGGCGGAAUAAGACAAGUAGCGGUGAAAUGCAUAGAUAUGUCUUAGAACUCCGAUUGCGAAGGCAGCUCACUAAGUUAGUAUUGACGCUGAUGCACGAAAGCGUGGGGAUCAAACAGGAUUAGAUACCCUGGUAGUCCACGCCCUAAACGAUGAUAACUCGAUGUUUGCGAUACACAGUAAGCGUCCAAGCGAAAGCGUUAAGUUAUCCACCUGGGGAGUACGGUCGCAAGAUUGAAACUCAAAGGAAUUGACGGGGGCCCGCACAAGCGGAGGAGCAUGUGGUUUAAUUCGAUGAUACGCGAGGAACCUUACCCGGGCUUGAAAGUUAGUGAAUGAUCCAGAGACGGAUCAGUCCUUCGGGACACGAAACUAGGUGCUGCAUGGCUGUCGUCAGCUCGUGCCGUGAGGUGUUGGGUUAAGUCCCGCAACGAGCGCAACCCCUAUGUUUAGUUGCCAGCACAUUAAGGUGGGGACUCUAAACAGACUGCCAGCGUAAGCUGUGAGGAAGGUGGGGACGACGUCAAGUCAUCAUGGCCCUUACGUCCGGGGCUACACACGUGCUACAAUGGAUGGUACAGCGGGCAGCUACAUAGCAAUAUGGUGCUAAUCUCUAAAAGCCAUUCACAGUUCGGAUUGAGGUCUGCAACUCGACCUCAUGAAGUUGGAUUCGCUAGUAAUCGCGUAUCAGCAAUGACGCGGUGAAUACGUUCCCGGGCCUUGUACACACCGCCCGUCAAGCCAUGAAAGUUGGGGGUACCUAAAGCAUGUAACCGCAAGGAGC